UCCUGGCUCAGGAUGAACGCUGGCGGCGUGCUUAACACAUGCAAGUCGAACGGAGACAUGUUUGGAAGUUUCGGAUGGAAGAGAUAUGUCUUAGUGGCGGACGGGUGAGUAACACGUAAACAAUCUGCCUUUGAGAGCGGGACAACAGAUAGAAAUAUUUGCUAAUACCGCAUAAGACCACAGGUUCGCAUGAACUAGGGGUAAAAGGGGAGCAAUCUCGCUCAAAGAUGAGUUUGCGGACUAUUAGCUAGUUGGUGAGGUAACGGCCCACCAAGGCAGAGAUGGUUAGCCGACCUGAGAGGGUGAUCGGCCACACUGGAACUGAGAUACGGUCCAGACUCCUACGGGAGGCAGCAGUGAGGAAUAUUGGGCAAUGGAGGAAACUCUGACCCAAGCAACGCCGCGUGAAGGAAGAAGGUUUUCGGAUUGUAAACUUCUGUUAUGGAGGAAAAGGAAGUGAUGGUACUCCAUGAGCAAGCUACGGCCAACUAUGUGCCAGCCGCCGC
rnacentral:rRNA from 1 species